rnacentral:lncRNA from 1 species
AUACCACUGGGCCAGCUGGCCAACCUGACUGGUCCCUCCAGUCCUCCCUCUGCGUACCAGCAGGACCUCAUAAAUUCAGGUUGGGGUUAGAAUUAGGAUUAGCGGUCACCCUCUUGUAGCUCAGACCCACUCGGUGCUGAAGCAGCUCCACGGGCUGCUUUCCAGAAGUGUCGAGGCUCUUAAAGGGCUAGUAAUACUCAAAUAAUAACAUGCGCCUAGCCAGAGACAUUUAACCCCUGAAAAGUGUCAAGGAUAAUGGAAAUGAUAAACCCAUGUCACUUCUGAGAGAUAUUUUGGGGGCUCAUUUCUUUCUUUGUGUCCUGAUGAAAGGAAAGGCAAUUUGCAUAUUCUGCUGAACCCUGAUUCUCAACCACCACAGUGUUCUGGACACUAAGUUGCAUAAUAGGAAAUUUAGGGGAGACGCUUUCCCCUUAGAGCCUUCCUGCUGCAUCUGCCACAGUUAUCCCUUCAAUAAACAGCCCCUCUCCAUGUUAUUUAAAACUCAGAAGUGCUCUCAACAACUCACUCCUGAUCAAUUAUAUGCCUAAGGUGAAGUUGGGCAUGAGCAGGUAUUUUGUAGUGAAAUGAACUACCAUUUGUAUAACACAUUGUAUUUAUGAUACAGCUUCAUUCUCAGCCCUGGGCUGGGUAUUAUUAUGACCAUUUUUGUUAGCGGGCAAACCCAGGUAUAGAGGGGCUGAUAACUUGUCCAAGAUCAUACAAGGAGAAGAGAAAGAAAUGGAACUUGAAUUCUGAUCUUUGGACUUCACAUUACAAGCAAGCAAGGCUAAUCAAAGCAAGCCUAAACAAACCCAACUGUCACUCGGAUGGAGAUCCUCUAAUGCCAACACCAGACAGAAAUACCACAUUCUUGCCCAGGAAAAUAUACUGGGGGUACUUAUGGCUAACAGAAUUAUAGGAUGAUGACAAAUGGGUCCGCUGAAGACAGGGGUAAACACCCAACAAGUUUUGGUAGCCUCAGAGGGCAGUGCAUCAGAAUGAUCUGAUAACUGGCUUUCAUACAAAUGCUCUUAAAUCAGCAGGGCAAAUGGGAUCUGAUACUGCAUUCUUGUUUCACAAGGCAGUGGGUUAGCUGGAGAUUUGGGAAACUCUUACAUCAAAAAAUGAUUAACACAAACAUUAAGACCCUCAAGAGAUAUGAUUUAAAUACUGGAAUAUUUUAUUUCUCUGAAAUGCCUCAUCCCCUGAUGAUCCCUGACAAAUCAGAUGCUACUAUAUAGAUCUGCUGAUCUCUCAGAUCUAAGUU